CUGGCUUCAUGAAGAACCGCCACGCCACAAUGCCGACAGCGACACUGCAGGGAACUGAUGGACGACACCCAACCCAUGACAUAUGGCGAGAUAUGAGGAAACUAGAAUGGGUCUUCUGCUCUUUCUUCUCCUUCUUUGGAAGUGCAGCUCCAGGACAACAAAGUGAACUAAUAGGGAAACAAAACUUCUGUCUUCCAAAAAGCAUAGUUAACACCCACGGACCUUGUGCAGCCAAAGGACUUGGAGGCAAUAGGUUACCUCUCUCAGGAUAAGCAACCACCUCCCCACCUUUUCCCAGCAAGAGAUCUGGGCUUGGAAAAACAGAUCCUACACAUGGACUAAGGAAGGUCAGGAGUGACUAAUAUAUGGGCACACAUAAAAGUAAACG